rnacentral:rRNA from 1 species
UCCUCGGGCUCGUCCGGUCGCUCUAUCGUGAAUGAAUCUCAGUGUCCGGACUCCGUCGAGGUUUUCAUGCCGGAGGGAGACUACGCGGCGACUCUUUGCCUUGCGGUCGUCACCAUCGAGCCACCCACCGCUUUCCAUAAUGACACCGUCACUGUUCAGGCAGCAGUCCUCCGCUACAUUGGCCACCUCCUGCCGGAGACGAUCCCUUCCUCCGUAGGGGCCAUGUACCUAUGGUUUGCCUCCGCGGCUAAUCGUGAGGAGGUGAUGGGGCGACAUCCAUUCAUGGAUGAGGGAGCCCGCAUCAACCUUCACCAG